rnacentral:rRNA from 1 species
GACGAAGGGGGCUAGCGUUGUUCGGAAUUAUUGGGCGUAAAGAGUUCGUAGGCGGUGUGUCGCGUCGGCCGUGAAAACCUGCAGCUUAACUGUGGGCUUGCGGUCGAUACGGGCAUCACUGGAGUUCGGCAGGGGAGACUGGAAUUCCUGGUGUAGCGGUGAAAUGCGCAGAUAUCAGGAGGGACACCGGUGGCGAAGGCGGGUCUCUGGGCCUUACCUGACGCUGAGGAGCGAAAGCGUGGGGAGCGAACAGG